rnacentral:rRNA from 1 species
GGGUGCGAUCAUACCAGCGUUAUUGCACCGGAUCCCAUCAGGACUCCGCAGUUAAGCGCGCUUGGGCUAGAGUAGUACUGGGAUGGGUGACCUCCCGGGAAGUCCCAGUGUUGCACUCUC